rnacentral:misc_RNA from 1 species
UCUCCGUUGGUGAACCAGCGGAGGGAUCAUUACAGAGUUUUCACAACUCCCAACCCUUGCGAUCCGUACCCAUUCUGUUCUCGUUGCUUCCGGCGGCGGGGACCGGCGGGCCCGAACCGGCCCCCCCGCCCCCCCCGCCGGGGGCCGCGGGCCCGACGAACCUUUUUUUCUCAUCCCCCAGACACCCUAUGCGAACAAAAACAAAACAAUCAAAACUUUCAACAACGGAGCUCUUAGCCCAGGCAUCGAUGAAAAACGUAGCAGACCGGAAGACAACAC